rnacentral:rRNA from 1 species
CCUACGGGGGGCUGCAGUGGGGAAUAUUGGACAAUGGGGGGAACCCUGAUCCAGCCAUGCCGCGUGUGUGAAGAAGGCCCUCGGGUUGUAAAGCACUUUCAGUGAGGAAGAACGCCUGGUGGUUAAUACCCAUCAGGAAAGACAUCACUCACAGAAGAAGCACCGGCUAACUCCGUGCCAGCAGCCGCGGUAAUACGGAGGGUGCGAGCGUUAAUCGGAAUUACUGGGCGUAAAGCGCGCGUAGGUGGCUUGAUAAGCCGGUUGUGAAAGCCCCGGGCUCAACCUGGGAACGGCAUCCGGAACUGUCGAGCUAGAGUGCAGGAGAGGAAGGUAGAAUUCCCGGUGUAGCGGUGAAAUGCGUAGAGAUCGGGAGGAAUACCAGUGGCGAAGGCGGCCUUCUGGACUGACACUGACACUGAGGUGCGAAAGCGUGGGUAGCAAACAGGAUUAGAUAUCCUGGUAGUC